GGUUGGGGGCCGGGCGGGGCCUUAAGGGGCCAUGUCCCACUUACUUCUCCUUCCUUCAGAGCCCCUACUGCUCCCCCUUCUUCAUCCCACCAGAAGCCCUGCUUGCGCCUUCCUGUGGAGCCAGAGGGAGAAGAGGUGAAGCAGAAGUAUAACAUGCAUCCAGAGAAGUGCAAAGACUUGGGCAUUUUACAAAGUGAAUAUACCCAGCACCGAGAUCAAGAAACACCAUAAUCAGGAUCCGGAAGUCCCCCCAAAUAUCAGAGGCAAAGACUUCUGAAGGCCAGUGCUCCAACUUGAGAAAGCUGUGGAGGCUGUGGUUCAGGUCUGGGGAAUGAGCGUGGACGAAAUAGAAUAGUAUGCUGACUCGACCAGUGCUUCUCAAGCUGCAGUGUGCCACUGAAUGACCCAGGCAUCUGGUUGAAAGGCAGGUUCUGAUUCAGCAAGCUGGGAAGGGGAUGCUGUGAUUCUACAUUUCUGUCAAGCUCCUACACUUGGUUAGCAAGGCCUUGAAUCCAGAGAUUCUCAAUAAUGCUGUAUAUAAGUAUCACAUGGGAGGCUUUUAAAAACACUGCUGCCCAGGUCCCACCCCAGAACAAUUCAGUUGGAAUCUCUGGGGUGGGGCUCAGCAUCCAUAGGUUUUAAAAGCUCCCCUGGUGAUUCCAGUGUGCAACCAGAAACAGUGGGUGCUGGCUCCCUGGAGUACCCCCAGUGCCUGAGCUGAGGUGGGAGGGAAGUGAGGUGUGGGGUCAGGUCUGGUGUCUGAGCAAACGAUCCAGUAUGACAAAGGGCAAGAGAUUUCUUAGGAAUGGACCAUUUGCCCCUUAGUGGAGGUGAAGGGAGGGAUUUCUGAAGGAAUUAUUUGGCGUGGGGCUACCUGCUAACCCAGGUCACAUCCUCCCAGGACCAAGAACAGACCUGUGCCUUCACCUUAUCAAGCAAGUCAGAGCUCCCCAGAGCUGCUCCGGGGGCUGGGCUCACAUGCCCCCAGGCAGUUCAAACAUUUUCAAAACCUUACUAGGGCAGUGGGAGGAGGUGCUGCCAGCUGCUCCCACACCCUGCCCCCUCUGCCCUGCUAGAGAAAGAGCCAGAUGAGUCCAGAGAUUACAAGCCCUGGAUCAACAUGGGCUAUUCAGGAUGAAGCGCCAUAGUCCUGGGUUCUGACGCCCUCUGGUGGACACCUAGAGUUGAAGUUGGUAACCAACAGACUACUGUGUCCAGGUCACUUCUCCAAGCUUUACUCCCAUCCACAGUCUGUUUGCCUGUGUUUACUUUUUAAGUCCUCAGGAUGUACACCACCAAGAGUGAAUCGUAAUGUCAACUAUGGACGAUAAUGAUGUGUCAAGUGAGAUUCAUUGAUUGUGACAAAGAUGGAAUCCAGCAACAAUUUGGAGAACCCAGUAACUCAUUUACUCAAGAAAUAAAAACUCACAUGUCCAAAAACUGGAAGAUCUGCAUUAACAAUGGGAAAUUUAGUCUGGUCCAUGUAUAUCAAGACACCGAUUGCAUUUAAACUUUCAGCAUUUGCAGCCUAAAGAAAAACAGGGUAAUUUUAGGGGAAAUGAGUAGCUUCCAGAAGAUCUGCUGUAAGCCAAAUGAAAGAUAGUAUUGCUACUGGUGAACGCAAGAUUUACAGCUUCAACUUUCACUCUUUUGAAGCAUUCUGAAUACCCCGGAAGCAAAACUCCUCUUCGUUCCGCUUUCUUUCCCAUGACUGUUUGCACUGAGGUUGAACUUGUAAAGCAGCUCAAGCUUACUUGAUGGCACUGGUGAAGUCUAUGGCAUCCAGUCUCUUGGACAACAUUGAUUUGAGGUCUGCCCAAAAUAUGCGACGUGUUUCGGGGAGCUGCUCUUCUGUUUCGAAAGGUUAACCUCAAAGGCAGGUACAGAGUCUUAGCCAUCAUUGUAUUCCUAGUGCCUUGCACAAUGGCACAUAAAAAGGUACGAAAUAAAUGUUUGCUGAGCUGGAUGGACAGAAUUCCUAGAGUUGGUGACAAGGAACAUUUAAGUUUUGAAUGGCCAUUCUUACCAAUCAAGAAAAAGACGAUUACAGCAAUAGUCCCAUAGCAGAUAUAUCCAUUUAACCUUUUUGGUUUUGUGACAUUGGUGUGGUUACCCCUCAUGUUAUUGUCAACAUUUUCUUCUUCAUCUACAGCUAGUUUCAUCUCCACAUG